rnacentral:lncRNA from 1 species
UUUAGAGACCGGAUGGGGAGAGAGGCCCUUGCAACGGCCCUUAUGUGCCCCCAUAGCCAUGUUAGGAACAGGAGGAGAACCUCAUCCUAACAUGAGCAAAAUUGAAGGUUCGGUUAUUUAAAGACCGGAUGGGGGAAGAGGCCCUUGCAACGGUCCUUAUGUGCUCCAACAGCCAUGUUAGGAACAGGAGGAGAACCUCGUCCUAACAUGAGCAAAGUCGAAGGCUCGAUUAUUUAGAGACCGGAUGGGGGAAGAGGCCCUUGCAACGGCCCUUAUGUGCCCCCGCAGCCCUGUUAGGAGCAGGAGGAAGACCUCGUCCUAACAUGAGCUGAAAUUGAUUGUGUCGGAAACAGGAGGAGAACCUCGUCCUGACACAAAUGAAGAUCUAAUCGUUUGAGACCGGAGGAAGGGAAAAGCCCCUCAGCAACUCCUCUACACCCCUACAAUCCCGUUAGGAGCAGAAGAAAAACCCUCGUCCUAACACAAAAAAAAAAAAAGCGACGAGCUACACCACAGAAAAAAAAAUGAAAAUGAACUACAUCCAAGGUUCAAGGGACCUCAUCUCAACGAGGAAGAAAACCCUUGUCGAAAAUCUCCAGUCCCUAAGGGCGAGUCAAUACGGCGAUGAUCAGGAAUCUUCAAACAACGUCGACAUCGAAUAAGACAGAAGACAAAAGAAGUUCGAUAAACGAUAACUUAAUGCAAGAAUGGACAAGGUAAUGAAAAUUUUUCUUUUCAUUUCAUUAGUAAAGUGCGGUUACAAAGCCUUUGAAGGUCAAAAAAAAAAAGAGCAACGAGAAAAGAAAGGAAUACAUAGAAUAAAAGGUAAAAAAGCUCUAAGGAAGCUCGGCUUCUUUAGACUUCGAACUUUCGGUUCCAUCCAUCAUCGAGGAUUGCUUUAAGUAUUUAACUUCUUCUUCUUCCAGUCCUCCUUUUUUGCUUUCCCCUUCCGCGAGAUUGGAAAGUACUCGCGGUCGAAGAUGUACCACGAGCGCGGGCACUGGGCGAUCAAGAUGAAGCACGACCGUAUCUGUCUCUUUUACCCUCGCCUUCUUCGCCGACCCAAAAGUUGCAGCGCCUUUCCUUUUGUGGGCCUUGAGACUCUUGGCUAGCAUCCAAGCCGCGUCCGCGUCCAUAUCUGCAACGAAAGAAGAUCG